rnacentral:rRNA from 1 species
GAUGAACGCUGGCGGCGUGCCUAAUACAUGCAAGUCGAGCGAACAGAUGAGGAGCUUGCUCCUCUGACGUUAGCGGCGGACGGGUGAGUAACACGUGGAUAACCUACCUAUAAGACUGGGAUAACUUCGGGAAACCGGAGCUAAUACCGGAUAAUAUAUUGAACCGCAUGGUUCAAUAGUGAAAGACGGUUUUGCUGUCACUUAUAGAUGGAUCCGCGCCGCAUUAGCUAGUUGGUAAGGUAACGGCUUACCAAGGCAACGAUGCGUAGCCGACCUGAGAGGGUGAUCGGCCACACUGGAACUGAGACACGGUCCAGACUACUACGGGAGGCAGCAGUAGGGAAUCUUCCGCAAUGGGCGAAAGCCUGACGGAGCAACGCCGAGUGAGAGAUGAAGGUCUUCGGAUAGUAAAACUCUGUUAUUAGGGAAGAACAAAUGGGUAAGUAACUAUGCACGUCUUGACGGUACCUAAGCAGAAAGCCACGGCUAACUACGU